rnacentral:tRNA from 1 species
GGGCCAUUAGCUCAGGUGGUUAGAGCGUACCCCUGAUAAGGGUGAGGUCCCUGGUUCAAGUCCAGGAUGGCCCAUU